rnacentral:rRNA from 1 species
AUUGAACGCUGGCGGCAUGCCUUACACAUGCAAGUCGAACGGCAGCAUGGAGAGCUUGCUCUCUGAUGGCGAGUGGCGAACGGGUGAGUAAUGCAUCGGAACGUACCGUGUAAUGGGGGAUAACGUAGCGAAAGUUACGCUAAUACCGCAUACGACCUGAGGGUGAAAGCAGGGGAUCGCAAGUCCUUGAGUUAUACGAGCGGCCGAUGUCAGAUUAGCUAGUUGGUGAGGUAAAGGCUCACCAAGGCGACGAUCUGUAGCGGGUCUGAGAGGAUGAUCCGCCACACUGGGACUGAGACACGGCCCAGACUCCUACGGGAGGCAGCAGUGGGGAAUUUUGGACAAUGGGGGCAACCCUGAUCCAGCCGUGCCGCGUGAGUGAAGAAGGCCUUCGGGUUGUAAAGCUCUUUCGGCCGGGAAGAAAUCGCACAGGCUAAUACUCUGUGUGGAUGACGGUACCGGCAUAAGAAGCACCGGCUAACUACGUGCCAGCCGCCGCUGUAA